CUUAACCCUGAGCGUGCUUUCGAUACGGGUUGACUGAGGGAAGGUAGGGGAGAAUGGAAUUCCCGGUGGAGCGGUGGAAUGCGCAGAUAUCAGGAGGAACACCAGUGGCGAAGGCGGUUCUCCGGGCCUUUCCUGACGCUGAGGAGCGAAAGCGUGGGGAGCGAACAGGCUUAGAUACCCUGGUAGCCCACGCUGUAAACGGUGGGUACUAGGUGUGGGGUCCAUUCCACGGGUUCCGUGCCGUAGCUAACGCUUUAAGUACCCCGCCUGGGGAGUACGGCCGCAAGGCUAAAACUCAAAGGAAUUGACGGGGCCCCGCACAAGCGGCGGAGCAUGCGGAUUAAUUCGAUGCAACGCGUAGAACCUUACCUGGGUUUGACAUGGAUCGGGAGUGCUCAGAGAUGGGUGUGCCUCUUUUGGGGUCGGUUCACAGGUGGUGCAUGGCUGUCGUCAGCUCGUGUCGUGAGAUGUUGGGUUAAGUCCCGCAACGAGCGCAACCCUUGUUCACUGUUGCCAGCACGUUAUGGUGGGGACUCAGUGGAGACCGCCGGGGUCAACUCGGAGGAAGGUGGGGAUGACGUCAAGUCAUCAUGCCCCUUAUGUCCAGGGCUUCACGCAUGCUACAAUGGCUGGUACAGAGAGUGGCGAGCCUGUGAGGGUGAGCGAAUCUCGGAAAGCCGGUCUCAGUUCGGAUUGGGGUCUGCAACUCGACCUCAUGAAGUCGGAGUCGCUAGUAAUCGCAGAUCAGCAACGCUGCGGUGAGUACGUUCCCGGGGCUUGUACACACCGCCCGUCAAGUCAUGAAAGUUGGUAACACCCGAAGCCGGUGGCCUAACCGUUGUGGGGGAGCCGUCGAAGGUGGGACUGGUGAUUAGGAC
rnacentral:rRNA from 1 species